GCAGGGCUGGAUCCCACAACUGUGAGAUCAUAAACGGAGCCAAAGUCAAGAGUUGGACGCUUAAUGGACUGAGCCACUCAGGUGCCCCUGAAGGAUGCCUGAGUUUCAAUGACCCUAGAGGAAGUGGACAGGAGGAGGCAACAUCCUUGAGAGACUCCAGCUGUAGGUCCUGAUUCAGUUGCGGAGCACAGAAGGGUCCUUUUGUCCGAGUAGGGAAACGGGUCAGAUUAUGCCAGGGGCAUUUCCGUGGUCAGGAGCUGAAGACGGACCAGGCCUGUGGAAAAGUAUGGUUGUCAUCACGAGGAAAGCAAACAAACACAGACUCUUAAGGCUAGAGAGUCUCUCCAUCUUGCCUCGGAACUGCCUUGUAUCUCUUACCUGGAAUUAGGAAGAAAUGGUGAGGACAGAAGAACUCGGAUUUCCUCUGCUUCACAAGAACAAUGUUAAAUGGUGUUAAGCGACGGCAGCCCAAAAGAUCUUUGGGGAG